AAGACCAGCCCGGUGGCGCAGUGGUUAAGCGCGCAUGUUCUACUUCAGCAGCCCAGGGUUCACAGGUUCAGUCCCAGGUGUGGACAUGGCACUGCUUGUCAAGCCAUGCUGUGGAAGCCAUCCCACAUAUGAGGUAGAGGAAGAUGGGCACAGAUGUUAGCUCAGGGCCAGUCUUCCUCAGCAAAAACAGGGGGAUUGGCAGGAGUUAGCUCAGGGCUAAUCUUCCUCAAAAAAAAAAAAAAAGUAGGAGGGAGUAAGGAGAAAUAAACACUCAAACUUCUCUCUCUUCUCAUCCCCUGUUCUCCUGCUACUUUCUUCCAACGGCUUAACCCAACAAAAAUUCAGAGGACAUGGAAGCCUGCGUGAUGAAUUCUAUUUUGGUCAGCUUCUACGGUCACUGGGGAGGAGAGAGAAAGAUGGAUGCAGCAGUUAUGGGCAUCAUCUCCUCUCAAGACCUCAUAAAAGUCAGAAAUUGGAAGUUAUAGAAGAUUACUUCUGCUUGGAACUGCAUCUGAGCUCUUCUAGGGAAGAUGGAAUUUGAUACCACACCAAUUCAUUUACUUCUUUUCAACUGGAUCUUCAGAAUAGCAAUUUUUGUAUUUAUUUAUAAUGUUUAUCAUUUCCCUAAUGCUAAUUUAAUCUCUUUGAAAAAAAAUCUUCAGGCUUGUAAUAAAUGAUACACUGGGAAAUAGGGAAUUGAUAAUACUCACUGAUUUUAAACUCUGACUGAAAUUCCAGUUUAAAUCUACACUUAGGAAUUAUUUAUAUCCUCUUAUGUCAUAUCAAUUUAAAUAAUAUCCCACUCACUGGGGCAUAAAGAAUAAUGCUAAUAUUAAAGUUUCUAUUUAAUAUUUGCUAAUUGCACAUGAAGAGGUUAUAUCAGUUGCAUUUAGGAUGUUUUUAAUUUAAUUUUACUGUAUUGGAAAAUCCAUGAGGUUAAGUCUCCUGAAAUUAUUGCUUUUAAAUAUUGAAUAAUAAGAAUAUUGUCCCCAUGAUGCACCCUGAAUCAUGUGGCCUUGGAUAAGCUUUCUCCCUGUUGCAAAGAGAGAGGAAUAGCAGAGUGCUUAGUUUAAUAUUGUUAAUAAAUAAGAAUGAUCAUACUCCCAUUUUAAAAUACCAAAUCUGUAUUUAAAAAGCUGUUUUUUCAUGAAAUAUGUCCAUCAUCGACAGGGUUAUAGACUUUUUUAGAACCAAAAUCUCAUGAAAAUGAAAUAAAUGUUAUUGCUGCAAAGUUGGCUUCUAUCCUAAAGGGAUGCAUAUAAACCACAGUUAGUGUCCUACCUCAAACUCUUCACUUGAUCUUCGAUUUUUCAAUCGUUCAAUAAACUUCAAUUGAAUGGCUCCAAAGUGAGGCAGAGCAGUGAGGAUGGAAGGAGACUUAGGCCCCAUAUCAAGACACAGCCACACACCCUUGUGAGCUGUGUGCCCUUGGGUACGUUGCCUGACUUCUCUGCGCCUUGGUAGUUCCUUUGUCUGUAAAAUGGAAAUAACAAUCCUAUUUUGGAGGGCUUUUUUUUUUUUUU
rnacentral:lncRNA from 1 species